AUUGAACGCUGGCGGCAGGCCUAACACAUGCAAGUCGAGCGAACGGCGGAAGGGUGAGUAAUGUGUGGGGAUCUACCCGAAAGAGGGGGAUCACUACUGGAAAAGGUGGCUAAUCACGCAUAAUAUCGGAGGAACCAAUAUGGGAUUAGCUAGGAGGUGGGGUAAAGGCUAACCUGGGCGACGAUCUCUAGAUGGUCAGACAGGAUGAUCAGCCACGCUGGGACUGAGAUACGGCCCAGACUCCGACGUGAGGCAGCGUUGGGUAAUAUUGCACAAUGGGCGCAAGCCUGAUGCAGCCAUGCCGCGUGUAUGAAGAAGUCCUUAGGGUUGUAAAGUACUUUCAGCUGGGAGGCGUUACCCGCAGAAGAAGCACCGGCUAACUCCGUGCCAGCAGCCGCGGUAAUAC
rnacentral:rRNA from 1 species